CCUACGGGAGGCAGCAGUGGGGAAUAUUGGGCAAUGGAGGAAACUCUGACCCAGCGACGCCGCGUGAGGGAUGAAGGCCUUCGGGUUGUAAACCUCUUUCAGUAGGGAAGAAGCGAAAGUGACGGUACCUACAGAAGAAGCACCGGCUAACUAUGUGCCAGCAGCCGCGGUAAUACAUAGGGUGCAAGCGUUGUCCGGAAUUAUUGGGCGUAAAGAGCUCGUAGGUGGUUCGAUACGUCGGAUGUGAAAAUCAGGGGCUCAACCCCUGACCUGCAUCCGAUACGGUCGAGCUAGAGUUUGGUAGGGGAGACUGGAAUUCCUGGUGUAGCGGUGGAAUGCGCAGAUAUCAGGAGGAACACCGAUGGCGAAGGCAGGUCUCUGGGCCAAUACUGACACUGAGGAGCGAAAGCGUGGGGAGCGAACAGGAUUAGAUACCCUGGUAGUCCACGCCGUAAACGGUGGGCGCUAGUUGUGCGAACCUUCCACGGUUUGUGCGACGCAGCUACGACAUAAGUACGCCCGCCCGUCGGGUAGGUACGAGUCGCGAAGAAGUUAAAACUUAAAACUUAAGUAAGUUAGUACGGCGUGAGACGUACGCCGACGGACGACGACGAGGGAGGUUAGG
rnacentral:rRNA from 1 species